rnacentral:pre_miRNA from 15 species
UUCUGAUCGGAAAUACGUACUACUGUUUUUAGUGAGUGAGGGUCCAGUGUUUCACAUUGUUUGCUUAAGUAUUUGUGACUAGAUCCACACUCAUUAAAAACGGUAGUUCAAUCUGCGUGAAAUAUUU